rnacentral:rRNA from 1 species
UACGUAGGGUGCAAGCGUUGUCCGGAAUUAUUGGGCGUAAAGAGCUUGUAGGCGGUUUGUCGCGUCUGCUGUGAAAUUUCGGGGCUCAACCCCGAACUUGCAGUGGGUACGGGCAGACUAGAGUGUGGUAGGGGAGACUGGAAUUCCUGGUGUAGCGGUGAAAUGCGUAGAUAUCGGGAGGAACAUCAGUGGCGAAGGCGGCCUUCUGGUCCAGUACUGACACUCAAGUGCGAAAGCGUGGGGAGCAAACAGG